rnacentral:rRNA from 1 species
UACAGAGGUCUCAAGCGUUGUUCGGAUUCAUUGGGCGUAAAGGGUGCGUAGGUGGCGCCGUAAGUCGGGUGUGAAGUUUCGGAGCUUAACUCCGAAACUGCAUUCGAUACUGCGGUGCUUGAGGACUGGAGAGGAGACUGGAAUUCAUGGUGUAGCAGUGAAAUGCGUAGAGAUCAUGAGGAACACCAGUGGCGAAGGCGGCUCACUGGCCCGGUACUGACGCUGAGGUGCGAAAGCGUGGGGAGCAAACAGG